GGCUUGCACUGAAGACCAGGAGCAGGCAGCUGCAGGGGCCUGGACAUCCACUAUGAAACAGUAUUUUGCACACUACCUUCCCUCACCAUCUCUUGUCUUCCCAGACGUUGCUGCUGGAUGCACACUGCAGGAAAGGGAAGCCAGCAGAACACUGAGGAAGGAAAAUGCCCGAGAGAGUCAGGCCUUGCCAGCUGUGAUCAGCAGUCUGAGCCCUUUCCCUGCAGGAUAUGCUUUGGAGCAAACUUUGCAUGGUUUCAAAUAAUACAGAUCAAAGUGAAUUCCCCACUAAAGCAAAUCCGCUAACCAACACUGAUGCUAUUCUCAAAGCAGGAAAGGUAUGAAGAGGAGCACAGGCAAGGAGAAGGGAAGAAAUGUCUUUGGAAAAAAGCCCCAGGGCUGCUGGUGAUGUGAAAUGCACAACCUCGAACACGGUCAGUGCACAAACCAAAAACACUCUGGAAAGACAGCAAAAAAAAGAGAGAGAAAAGGUUAAGAAGCAUCUCUGAGCAGCGGUGGAGCCACCCUACCCCCACCAGUAACUGCCAGCAGCAGCAGGUGCUUUUGGAGCAUGAGGUUUCUCCUUGGCUGCUGAGCAUAUUCCUCAUAGAAACACUCAAAAUCAGGCUCUGAAGUCAGGUGCAGAGGAAAGCAGAGCUGAGAACGGAGCCUCAUGGCUGGCCCGAGGACCCACAGAAUCGACAGUAUGCCCAGAUCAGGUGAGGGAGCAGAGAGGCUUUGGGGACCCCAUGGCUUCGUGGUUCCCGUGCUCCUGUGCUGCCAGCCCUUUGUGACCCUGCAGCUGUCAACCUCCUCCUGGAGAUGGGUCCCUUCCCAGGAACAUCUCCAGUUCUCCAGGGGCCGACGGCACCUUCCCCCCAUUUCCUGCGCUGAGGAUGAGCUGUGCGUUCCAGCAGCACGCAGUGCAUCAGGCCAGCAGCUGUACCACCAGCUGUUUGUUCAAAGGCCACUCACACUCACUGACUUCAGUGUGGUACAGACCAGGCACUGUGUGAGGACUCCGGUCCCUGUAGGGAUCCUGCAGAGUGUCUGAGACACCAGCCACAUUUGGUUGCCGCUUCAGGAGAAGAUGCAGGCAACCCUUCACUUGUGCUGCAGCUUUAAUGCAAAGGAAACCUGGGUGCAGAGUCACGCCAAGAAGAUCAAGGGGCCCAUGCAUAGUGCACACAGGCAGCCAAACGCUACACCAACACCAUGGCAAACACUGGAGUGUUGGAAAGCACCUUAACGUUGUCCUCCUACACUGUGAAAUCUGGAGCCUUCAGAUGUCGGUUUGUUACCCACUGUAAUGUGCUGGUCACAAGGUACGCUACGGUGAUCUGUGCACUGGCUUUGAUACUGUAAUUUGAACGUAUCUGCUUUUUCACUUAAUACAGACUACUGUUGUUUCAGUGUCCCUCAGGACAAUAUUUUCUCCAGAGAAAGGCCCAGGGACAAAGAGCAUCUUUUGAAUGCUCUCAUUACUUGUGCCAUAUUUCUCAUAUCUGAUAAGACUACUUGUGAAAUUCCAAAAAGAGAUGGUUAUCUUCUCUUACAGAAAUAACUUGGGCUAACGUUACUUUGAUACAAACCUUCUGUGAUACAUUUCUGUAAGCAAAGAACUACUUAAGUGCUACUCUUGAGGAAAUACUAGAAUAAUGUUUCACAUCUGUCUCAUUUUGACUGUAAUGAAGACUAUUUUUUGUACCAGCUCUGCUCUUAUAUCAUUACAGUAUGUUUUUUCUUUCAGUAAGCAGUUAUAAUUCUAUUUACUAGUUACUGCAGGUACCACUUCGAAUGCAUUUCUCUUUGGAAUCAGCAAAACACCAAGGAUAUUUUACAUGAAAGAAACAUUUAUGUGAUUUUGUCAAACAGUACAAAAGGCAUUUUGUGGAUCUUUGGAUUUGUCUAAGUCCUAUAUAUUAUUAUUUCUUGAUAACACUCCAGAGCACAUGAGAAAUU